AUUGAACGCUGGCGGCAUGCCUUACACAUGCAAGUCGAACGGCAGCACGGGAGCAAUCCUGGUGGCGAGUGGCGAACGGGUGAGUAAAGUAUCGGAACGUGCCCAGUCGUGGGGGAUAACGUAGCGAAAGUUACGCUAAUACCGCAUCCGAUCUAUGGAUGAAAGCGGGGGAUCGCAAGACCUCGCGCGAUUGGAGCGGCCGAUAUCCGAUUAGGUAGUUGGUGGGGUAAAGGAUCACAAAGCCGACGAUCUGUAGCUGGUCUGAGAGGACGACCAGCCACACUGGGACGGAGACACGGCCCAGACUCCUACGGGAGGAAGCAGUGGGGAAUUUUGGACAAUGGGCGAAAGCCUGAUCCAGCCAUGCCGCGUGCAGGAUGAAGGCCUUCGGGUUGUAAACUGCUUUUGUACGGAACGAAAAGGUUUGGCCUAAUAAGCUGAGCUCAUGACGGUACCGUAAGAAUAAGCACCGGCUAACUACGUGCCAGCCGCCGCGGUAA
rnacentral:rRNA from 1 species